rnacentral:rRNA from 1 species
UACGAAGGGGGCUAGCGUUGUUCGGAAUUACUGGGCGUAAAGCGCGCGUAGGCGGAUCGCUAAGUCAGGGGUGAAAUCCCAGGGCUCAACCCUGGAACUGCCUCUGAUACUGACGAUCUGGAGAUCGGGAGAGGUUGGUGGAAUUCCGAGUGUAGAGGUGAAAUGCGUAGAUAUCGGGAGGAACACCAGUGGCGAAGGCGACUUCCUGGCCUGUUCUUGACGCUGAGGCGCGAAAGCUAGGGGAGCAAACGGG